GAUGAACGCUGGCGGCGUGCCUAAUACAUGCAAGUCGAGCGAAUGGAUUAAGAGCUUGCUCUUAUGAAGUUAGCGGCGGACGGGUGAGUAACACGUGGGUAACCUGCCCAUAAGACUGGGAUAACUCCGGGAAACCGGGGCUAAUACCGGAUAAUAUUUUGAACUGCAUGGUUCAAAAUUGAAAGGCGGCUUCGGCUGUCACUUAUGGAUGGACCCGCGUCGCAUUAGCUAGUUGGUGAGGUAACGGCUCACCAAGGCAACGAUGCGUAGCCGACCUGAGAGGGUGAUCGGCCACACUGGGACUGAGACACGGCCCAGACUCCUACGGGAGGCAGCAGUAGGGAAUCUUCCGCAAUGGACGAAAGUCUGACGGAGCAACGCCGCGUGAGUGAUGAAGGCUUUCGGGUCGUAAAACUCUGUUGUUAAGGAAGAACGCCAGGUAGAGUAACUGCUACCUGUGUGACGGUACUUAACCAGAAAGCCACGGCUAACUACGUGCCAGCAGCCGCGGUAA
rnacentral:rRNA from 1 species